CUCGAGUAAGGAGCCGUACUGGGCUGUGCUUUUGGAGCAAAAUAACACGCCCAGCUGCAGGCUGGGGGAAGGCCAGCCUGGGGUUUCAGGGUGACAGUUGCAGAAGCAUAUGAAAUAAUCAGAGAAGAGGCAAGGUGGAGAACAUGACCUCAUGUCUGGCUUAGGAUCCUAGAAGCGGUGAGCUUUGCUGUGUGUCAGGCGCUGAUGGUGUUUGCUUGAAGUGACUGAUUGAGACAAGAAAACCGUAAGGAUGGUCCAGAGAACGUUCAGGGGGCAGGGCUGCGGCUGGCAGCUUUGUCAACGACGUCAGCAGGAGGGGUCGGGAGAGAACAGUAAAACACAGUUGACCUGGCAAGAGGCUGUCCUGGGAGCAGCCUCAGAGCUUGGCCCAAGAGUAUCCACCUAGCCUGACCACAGCUGACCGCGGCAGAAUCUGAUUUCUCCCAGAAUGUGCCUCCACCUGCCCCGUGCCACGGACACCCCGUGUGCCUCGCUCCUGGUGGGGCACUGGCAUGGACCACCGCAGGCACAAAACACAGCCAGCGAACUCAGCCCAAGCUCCACCAGGAGCUCAGGGUCUGCAUGAGCCAGAGCUGGCAUCUUUCCGGGGGAUGGGCCCAGGCAAAGUGACCACUCUCUUCCAGUCCAGGAGCUGUGAGCUGCACGGAAAGAAUGUGAAUGAAGACACAAUUCUAAAUGUAGCAUCACGAACGCUAUGUGAGCCGGCUCCCUCACCGUCCAGAAAAACAAGACCCGCUUGUACAUUCUGCAAGAGCAUAAAUAAAGCUGUCCUCAGGCGGCGUGCUACAGUGUCCCCCCCUUGCAGUGACUUCACUGGCUCUGACUCUCCGCAGAACCUCUGGAGCAUCGUGGGAGCUGCCCAGCUGCCUGACGGCGUGGGUGAAAAUGGCCUCGCUCUCGCCUGGACAUGCGUGAUGCUGGCUAAUUUAAUUCUGUGGCAGAUCUGCUCUGUUCUGCCUCUGUACUAAUUAGAAACAUUCAAAAGCUGGAAAGGAGGGCAAUGUAGAAUGGGUCCUUCAGGCCAGUUUCUGGUGCUGGGUGUUUGAAGUUCACAUCCCUGCAAAUAACACGAGGCAACUCCUCUGAUUCUUCCACGCUUGCAAUGUGGUUUUGUUGAGCUGCUUGUCAGAGGUCUCUUCACCACUGCUCGGCCUUCUUUAGGAGUUGUUUCCAUAAACGUCUUCAGGAGAUGAGAAAACGGAGGCUCGCAGACGUUCUGGAUGUCACGCAGCUCAUGUUGGCACUGAGGAUACAGAUGAGGGUUUGCUCUCCAGCCUGUCUGGACUAUACGUCUCUGUUUCACCCUCCCUAACAAAACACUCUCCCA